GUGUGUUUUUGUGAAAAGUGCAAGUUUUAGUGAAAUAAACAGAAAUAGUUGGACCACCAGCGACAUUGGUUAAAUCAUCCAGAGGAGUAUUUUUUAUACAGUUAAAGGAGAACUGUUUCCCAACGAACAGAUAACUACAUUUUUUAUAAAGAACCAAAUUCCUCGAUAAUGUCUUUAGUUAUUAAUGAUUUGUUUCCCGCAAUCAUUAGUAUCGCUGAUGAUUCACCUUUAUUACAAAACCAGCAGGAAAUCCUUGAAGACGAUGAAUUAAAAAUAUUACUAAGAUCUUGGAAUGUUGAACACAUGUACACAUGUCUUAAGGAGGAAAAUAUCGACGUGAAGAUAUUGAAAAUUUUGAAGUUUGACCACUUGAAAGAGAUUUUGCAAACUUUCAAAAUUGGUGACCGAAUCUUAUUUGAAUUCAACUUCGAAAACUGGAGAAACCAGAUUAAUAAACCUCUGCACUUUCACGCUUCCGUUAGCACUGCGUCGCCUAGUUGCUCCGCUGAUUUUUCCCAGUAAGAUCUAGAUCGCCUGCUUCCAGCCCUACCACUGGUUCCAAUUCGCAAGAUUUCGAGGAAAACGCUUUUGUUGCAACAAUUUUACACGCAGAUAUUAAGUCGUUACAUGUAAAAGAUUUUUAUAAAUGUAACAACAGACUUGACGACGCUCAUAGAAAUGUACUCAUCAAUAUAAUUGUAACCUACUACAUUGCCAAAAACAUUCACAUGUCACUUCAAGUAAUCUACUACCUGGAGAAUGAAAUCCUAAGCCUUUUUCCAAAUGAAAAGCUGAACUUCUACAGAACCGAAAAGAGAGAAACUGUAUACCAAAUAUUGCUACUUAAAAAAAAGCUUCAAAAACCGUUUGUCUAUAAUUCCUGUACCUGAAGAAAAUACCAAAGCUGAUAAAAUUGCUCGCGAUGAUCAUGCAGAAGAAAUCAUACAGCAUCUUAAAUACGACAAUUUGACAGCAGAAGAAUUCGAAAGCUGCUGGCAGGCCAGUGCAAAUUAUAGAAUUCAUCAAAUAAAGGAAAAAUUUAAUAGCAUUCAACAAGUUUUCGUAGACUGGCCAGAGUAUAAAAAGCCGAACGGAUAUCGAUUGAUUGAUCUAGACUUUGGUACGAUUUUUCCCAAUCAUGAUAAUUUUCUUGUUGACUGGAAGCAAAAAGUUUUGAAGCUCUUUACAUCUUAAAGCUUGAAGCUUUUUACAUCUUAAGAGAAGUGAGUGCUUAAAGGACGGUGCCACAAAAAUCAUUAUCAGCUCUAUGUCUGAAGGGGAUUUAGAAAAAGAUGAAACGUCCUUUGCUUUUAAGACUUUUUGGUGCCUACAUGGAUAUCUUUACCCUACAGGACACGUUAUGAAAAAGGAUAAUACUGGGAAAAGAUGUACAAUCAGAUUCACCAUAAAGGACUCUCAGGAAUCGUAUGCUUUUGUCGGACAAAGUCUUCAAAACCUAGAUGAUCACAUUAAUUUUUUAAGCCAACGUAAAGAAAACAUACAGCCUUUUAUCCUGUCGGUAGGAGACAACAAUUACUCAAAAUUCACUGAAUUUUUUUUUAUAUUUAGAUGGUACAAAAAUUCCAUUCCAAAGCUUUUUACGCUGUAUGGAUAUAUGUUUCAAAUCCUUUUAUUUAUUUAAUGUGGAGUACCCUAAAGCUUCCACAACAUUUUGGACAUUUAUUGAAGCUUACUUUUACAAACUAGCAUUACCUCAAGGAAAAAAAACUUUGAAAAUAAAUAUUCUGAUGCAAGAACUUGAAGAAGACUCCUAAUUUAAUGUACACUUUUGGUCAGAUAAUUAAGUUAGUUACAUAGGAACUAGCUAUUUUUCUUUUUUUUUAUUAUUUUUUUAUAAAAGUCUAGCGCAUUGUAUAACAAGCACCUAACUUAAUUAAGCUGACCACAAGUGUGUGUA